UUUUUUCCAUGAGCCUGAAAGUGGAGGCUCUAAAUGAGUUUGUGUUUUUUCAAACUAUUUUUUUUCUUCAAUCCAUUUUUUACAAGACACGCACGCCUAUUCUGAUGCCUACAUGCCCCCUUUCUGAUAUACUGUUCUGAAACAGAGCAAUCUGUUAGGAUGCUGAAGAAGCUGUCUUCUGUUAAAAAUGACAGAAUACAGAAUGUUUUAAUUGAGCAGGCACAAGGUGUAAUUCAGAGAUUUAUAUGUAAUGGUGUUCUAUGUGUUUCUACAGACUACUGACUAUUAGCGAGCAAAGACUCACUUCACCUCAGGCAAUGAUAAUCUGAACCAAGCACAGGCCUCCUGUAUAUGUUAAAUAGAUUGGCCACAUCCACAAAUUCACAAACAUCUGGAGGUUAAAUUAAUGGAAGGUACUGGCCAAUACAAUUCCUCUUUGUUAAUCAGAUAAGGGCAAAAACAAAAGUCAAAAGUACAGAUCCGAGGGACAAUUUUCGCCGCCCUAAACAAAACGACAAAAACCCAGAGGAACGUUAUCAGAUAUCUGAAAAAGACAGGGAUUAAUGUACACCUCGGAAUACUUCUACAAAACAAAGUAGUUCCCAACAGUGAACGGAGAUUACAAAACAGCAAUAUUGUUCAACUCGCCUGAAGUUAAGAGUUUUCGUGGUUCCUUUUUUACUUCGCUCUCUGUGAUUUGCAAGAUACUUAAAACAGGCUGAAGUUCUGAGAAUCUACACAAGAUCAAAAAUACUGCCAUAUUUGGAAUAUGUAAUGAUCUGUCCUGGGUCCACGACCACACUAAACAAGAGUGGGUGUUUUCAGCGUUUGGUAAUACUUUUAAGGGGUCUUCUGCGCAGACAUGAAGCGAUGAGCUCACAGUGCUUUUAUCUUUGUGUUUCCGGCACACCUGCCCUCUGAAGACACAGGUGUGGCUGCCUGUGUUACAUCCUCAGGUGAAGGCGAGUCUUCUGCAGUCUGCAGUGUAAUGACCCAGACAUGUUUGCUUGUCCUGCUCCAUGAAGGUCCCCGCCCGCCCGUCGAACAGCACAAACGACAAAACUCACCGCAAUCAUUAGUGCUGCGUUUGUGCCGGCUUGUGUCGCUUGAACAAGCCGAUCCACCUGGCGCUGCUGGCUUGGACAGCUCUCAGACCCGUGAUUGGCUAAACCCCCGAACAGCUCGGGCCGCGAUUGGGUGAAGAGUGAGAAUCGACACUCUGAUUGGGUAAAGCGCCACAGCGGAAGUUCUGUGUACCGUGUGUGCUGUAUGAGCACGCUGGAUACACAGUAACAGUAACACAUCCAUUGGUUUCCAAUUACUGAUCAAUCUCGCACAAAGUCGCACUGAGGUCAAAACUGAAUAGCAGACAAAGAAUGUCAUGGCAUCCACAGCGCGUUCACGACUCCGAUAGCAUGUCACGAUAGGAGUGCGCGCAUCACGAUCACAUGCCGAUAC